AUUAAAAAAAAAGAAAAUGUACUAAGUCAGUCAGUGCUGGUGCUAUGUUAACCUUGUAUCUCUGCUGCAAAUGAUGUCACACUGCCGCCAUUAUCAAGAGCACCGGGAGCAGACACUGCUGCCAGGAAAAGGCCAGGCUGUGCAGCAGUUUACUGAAGCUCUCUGCUGUGUAAACUUUUAAGGAGUGAUGAAAUCUGGAUAGUGUGUUACUUCUGUUUUUUCUUCCUGACUGGAAAUAUUCAGCAAUGUAAACUCACACAUUGGGAGUGUGUGUGUGUGUGUGUGUGUGUUUCAGUUUAUUUUUCUUUUUCACCUUCUGAUUCGAGUGAUUUGUGUUACACAUUUGCUCACAUGGAUAAAGCACAGGAGAGCCACAGAAUAACACUUCCGUGAAGAGCACACAAUACCCUGCAACACAACCCUUUCAGGAGCAAUCCCGGCCUACUAUGUGUUGUUCCAUUACAUUUAAAUGUUGGAAUAACCCAUGGAAGUUAUUUCAGGAAACGCUAAUGUGGACUGUGACCUGGCUUCUGUAAUAGCCAGAAGCUGGAAACAACCCAGACGUCCCUCAGUUGAGGAAUGGAUACAGAAAUUGUGGUACAUUUACACAAUGGAAUACUACUCGGCAAUUAAAAGCAAGGACAUCAUGAAAUUUGCAGGCAAAUGGUGGCAACUAGAAAAGAUCAUCCUGAGUGAGGUAACCCAGAAGCAGAAAGACAAAUAUGAUAUAUACUUACUUAUAAGUGGAUAUUAGCCGUAUAAUAUAGGAUAAACAUAAUAAAAUCUAUAGUCCUAAGGAAGCUAAACAACAAGGAGUACCCUAUGGAAGAUGCUUAAUUCUCAUUCAGAAGGGUAAACAGGAUAGACAUCGAAAGUAGAAGAAGAGAAGGAACAGGACAGGAGCUUUCCACAGAGAACCUCUGAAAGACUCUACCUACCAGGGUAUCAAAGGAAAUACUGAGACUUACAGCCAAACGUUGGACAGAGUGCAGGAAUCCUUAAGGAAGAAGAGGGAGAUAGAAAGACCUGGAGGGGACAGAAACUCCACAAGGAGAACAACAGACCCAAAAUACCUGGACCCAGGGGGACCUCUAGAGACCAAUACUCCAACCAAGGACCUUUCAUGAACAGGACCUAGACCCUCUGUUCAAAUGAAGACCAUUAGCUGCUCAGUUUCCAGGUGGGUUCUCUAGUAAGGGGUACAGGGGCUGUCUCUGAUGUGAACUCAGUGGCUGGUUCUUUGAUCACCUCCCCCUGCGGGGGGGGGGGGAGUGCAGCCUUGCCAGGCCACAGAAGAAGAUGAUGCACCAGUCCUGAUGAGACCUGAUAGGCUAGGGUCAGAUGGAAGGGGAGAAGGACCCCCCUAUCAGAGGACUAGGGGAAGGGUGUAGGGGGAGAAAAGAGAGAGUGAGUGGGACUGGGAGGUGAUGGGGGCUGCAGUGGGAAUACAAAGUGAAUAAAUUUUAAUAAAUAAAUAUAUAAAUAAAGUUAAAGUAAAUAAACAUAUUUCAAGAAGAAAUAUUAAACACCUAGAAGACUUGAUAAAGAUUCUCAAUAUGGCUUUUCCCUCUGGCCACUGAUUUCCCUGUCUAGUGAAAGACUGAGUCAAUCUUGAAUCUGAAUGUAACUCCCCAGUAUAAACAUGCAACUUCAUCCCUGAUACAGUUUCCUUCUCUGUACAGUGAGCCGGUCCAAAGGAUCAAAGAGGUCAUUAGGGAAAUCUCAGGCACUGUCUUGAUCAAGAAUUGCUAUCUGGAAAAGCUGAUGACAUCUGUGAGUACAAGGAAGGCUCUCCUCUAGGGUGCAUAAUCCAGGGCUCGGUGCUUCUGGGUCCUUGUCACAAAAACUCCAAGAACAGAUUUCACGGACAAGGGGUUUGCAGCCGGCCGGCUUGGCAGUCCCAACAAGCAGCAAGCAUGCCCUAGCUGCCUUCUCUGGCAUGGCUGGCCCUGACUCUGCUCUAUCCAAGAUCAUCAUCUGCUCUAGUCUGAACACAAGCCUAGGUGAGGAAACAGACCAACCAACACUGCCUUGAUACCAUAAGCUUCCCUGUGGUGUCCAGGGUUAAAGCCAUAUACCAACUACAUGGGCUGAUCGUGGCAGAGGGGAGAGUCCUCUUCUGGGAAACUGAGCUCUGAAUUUAGAAGAAGGGAAAAGAUUGGUGCAAGAAGGUGCAAACUGGAGUUGGAAGAAAUUACAGACUGUAAGUGAAGGUUAACACUAAUAGCUGACUGAGUUCCCUUAAACAGCGAUCUCUCUAUUGAUACAUUCAACGUCUUUGUUUUAUCCCCACCACAAAAUAAAGCAGUUACACAGUAAGCUGUGGAUGGAAGACAAGGGAGGGUGUUUUAGCUACAAAGUCAUCAGGGUGAGGAAGGGUAGAUUUGAGCCUCUGCCUUCAUUCAUGGUGUCCUAGGCUCAAAGCAGCUACUCCUAGAUGUGGUGAAGGACCUUUUUUUUUUUUUUUUUUUUUUUUUGCAGAUGGCCACCAUUUCCUUGCAGUGUCCUCGGGGAAGGAGGGGUAGACACUAGGACUCCGGAUAGGCAAAUCUCUGAACUCCUAUAGGGGCUAUAAUCUUAUUCUGACCCUAUCAGAAAGAGAUGACCUUUAUGACCCCAUCUAUAUCUGAUUAUCUUCUGAAGUUUCAGCCCCUGAUGCAAUCACAGUAGAUUGCCACAGCGGAGGGGAAACCAUCAUUCAGUCCAUUGUUAAUAAAGCUGGAGAGCGCUACUUCUGCUUCAUUUAUUCAGUAGCUAUUUGCAGGGUGCUUAAACAGUACCAACGAUCUACACAGAUGCUCACUCAUGUCAUCUUAGACGAUCUUGGAUAGCACAAAUGCUACUAUUGCUUCUCUGUUACACGUGAGAGAAACAUAAGCUAAGAGGGGUUAGAUAAAUUGCCAGGGAGCAUUUUGUGGGUCUGUGUUGCAGCUGAACUUUUAGCCCUAAAAAACAGUGUGUCUCUGUGGUGAGCAUCCCAGGCAAAGGGCUUCUUCCACUUUGCUUCCCUCACAGAAGCACAGAAUCAAUGGUGUUCCAGCAGGAUCCAGAGUUAAAAACCAACCAUGACAACAAAAGGAAUGCAAAACUGGAGACUAUUUAGACAGACUCUGAAAUGUUUUAAAGGUUUAAACAGAGAGCUACAAACAUGUCAAUAAUUAUCUAUCAAGUCUGUUGUAGUGGCUCCUAAGCCUAAGAAGCAUUUGAAAGGUGGAAGGAGGAGGUUUGAAGUUCAGUAGCUAGUCCUAGGUCAGCCUGUGGCUACAGUAGUUGUAAUAAUAAUGAUAAUAAUUUCAAAGACUCAGUCUUACAGUACAGAUAGAUUCAUACAACACGAAAACAGAGUUGUAUCAGCAAGCUAAUAGUCAUAUACACCCAUAGUCCUUAGCACUUAAACUGGUGGCACCGUGGCCUUUUCUAUCCAGGGACCCUCCUCCCCCACCUUAGCCCAGCACAGCUCCUCACAGCUUUCCUGUGGACUUUCCUUAGUUAAGACAAAAUUUAAUCUGCCAUCAGCAGGGUAGUGAUAUUUCAGCAAACACUAGAAUUUGGGAAGUUCCCGAGCUCAAAAGACAAAGAGGAGAUUGCUACAGUGUUCUAAAAUAAACACUGACCUAAUCUUGGCAAGGAUCUUUCUCCUCACCCCCCUCCCAUGACAAAAACCACCACUGGCCAAAUGCUAUUUACUUAAUACUACAAAAAAAAAAAAAAAAAA